rnacentral:misc_RNA from 1 species
GUGAAUCAUCAAAUCUUUGAACGCAAAUUGCGCCUUUUUCGGAAGGCAUGUCUGUUUGAGGGCACCAUUUAACAAAUAAUGUGCAUUUCGUGUGCACACGUUGAUGAGCUUUCCAAAAUUAUGUAUUAUUAUUUUUGGUGGCGCAUAAUAAACAGCGCGAUGCUUUUUUUCAGUUCGAGUGUAGUAAAAUCUUUGCUUGGGUUGUGAAAAGCAAGUAGCGCACUGGGUGUGGCAGUUUUCCCUGAUGCCACUCUUUCUCGCGAAAGAAUGUUAUAAUCUUCAGGGCCUCAAAUCAGACAAA